rnacentral:rRNA from 1 species
ACGUAGGGUGCAAGCGUUGUCCGGAAUUACUGGGUGUAAAGGGAGCGCAGGCGAGAAGACAAGUUGGAAGUGAAAACCAUGGGCUCAACCCAUGAAUUGCUUUCAAAACUGUUUUUCUUGAGUAGUGCAGAGGUAGAUGGAAUUCCCGGUGUAGCGGUGGAAUGCGUAGAUAUCGGGAGGAACACCAGUGGCGAAGGCGGUCUACUGGGCACCAACUGACGCUGAGGCUCGAAAGCAUGGGUAGCAAACAG